rnacentral:rRNA from 1 species
GGAACCUCACCCGGCCCGGACACCGCGAGGAUUGACAGACUGAGAGCUCUUUCUCGAUUCGGUGGGUGGUGGUGCAUGGCCGUUCUUAGUUGGUGGAGCGAUCUGUCUGGUUAAUUCCGAUAACGAACGAGACCCCAACCUGCUAACUAGCCCUCGGGUCCUGCUUCUGUUGGGCCCGACGGAAUGAUUCGCUUCUUAGAGGGACUCGCGGCGCCUAGCCGCACGAAGGGGGGCGAUAA